rnacentral:misc_RNA from 1 species
AAGUCGUAACAAGGUUUCCGUAGGUGAACCUGCGGAAGGAUCAUUAUUGAAUAAACUUGAUGGAUUGUUGCUGGCUCUGUUCAUAGAGAGUAUGUGCACGUCUGUCAUUUUUAUAUAUUCUCCAUGUGCACUAUGCAUAGACCUGAAUAUUUGGCUAAUCAAAGAUUUCUUUGAUUUCUGGAAAUUGCUGUUAUAAAUAUACCAGCUUUUUCUGUAUUCAGGUUCUGUGGAUUUUAUAUAUACUCCAAUGUAUGAUGAAUGAACGUUCUUAAAGGGCUUGGUAAAGCUCAUAAAUUUGUAAUACAACUUUCAGCAACGGAUCUCUUGGCUCUC